GGAGUCUGGACCGUGUCUCAGUUCCAGUGUGGGGGACCUUCCUCUCAGAACCCCUACCGAUCGUCGCCUUGGUGGGCCGUUACCCCGCCAACUGGCUAAUCAGACGCAUCCCCAUCCCUUACCGAUGAAUCUUUGCUCCUCGUUAGAUGCCCGCAAAGGAGAACAUAGGGCAUUAAUCCGACUUUCGCCGGGCUAUUCCCUAGUAAGGGGAAGGUUGGAUACGCGUUACUCACCCGUGCGCCGGUCGCCAUCAAAGUUUGCAAGCAAACUUCAUGCUGCCCCUCGACUUGCAUGUGUUAAGACCUCGU
rnacentral:rRNA from 1 species